rnacentral:rRNA from 1 species
UGCCAGCAGCCGCGGUAAUACGUACUGGGCGAACGUUAUUCGGAAUCACUGGGCUUGAAGGGUGCGUAGGCGGCUUUCCAGGUCUGAUGUGAAAUCUUACGGCUCAACCGUAAAAUUGCGUUGGAAACCGGAAGGCUUGAGUGUGCUAGGGGUGUGUGGAACUUCCUGUGGAGCGGUGAAAUGUGUUGAUAUGGGAAGGAACGCCGGUGGCGAAGGCGGCUUUCUGGACCAAUACUGACGCUGAGAUGCGAAAGCGUGGGUAGCGAACAGGAUUAGAUA